rnacentral:snRNA from 1 species
AGCUUUGCGCAGUGGCAGUAUCGUAGCCAAUGAGGUUUAUCCGAGGCGCGAUUAUUGCUAAUUGAAAGAAUAUUGAUCCUCCUGUUGGCAGAUAGAAUAGGUGGUCUUAUUAUAGCUGCAGGUCCCUGAGACUUUUAUCUGGCAGGAGAAAUA